rnacentral:rRNA from 2 species
CCUACGGGAGGCAGCAGUGGGGAAUCUUGCGCAAUGGCCGAAAGGCUGACGCAGCGACGCCGCGUGCGGGAGGAAGCCCUUCGGGGUGUAAACCGCUGUCACCGGGGACGAAGGUCAUGGGAGCGAACAGCUCUCAUGUGUGACGGUACCCGGGGAGGAAGCGCCGGCUAACUCCGUGCCAGCAGCCGCGGUAAU